rnacentral:rRNA from 1 species
UACAGAGGUGGCAAGCGUUGUUCGGAAUUACUGGGCGUAAAGGGCGCGUAGGCGGCCCGUCAAGUCCCGUGUGAAAGCCCCCGGCUCAACCGGGGAACGGCGCGGGAAACUAGCAGGCUUGAGUUCGGGAGAGGGAAGCGGAAUUCCGGGUGUAGCGGUGAAAUGCGCAGAUAUCAGGAGGAACACCGAUAGCGAAGGCAGCUCGCUGGGACGGUACUGACGCUGAGGCGCGAAAGCGUGGGGAGCGAACAGG